GGAUGUGAGAGUAACCUGGCUGUGACAUCUGUCACCCCAUUGAUGGCCAGGAUUGAUUCAGCUAAUCUGGCUGGCUGGGGGGGGGGUCCCCUUCCUCCCUCACUGCUCCAUGUGUGUCCCUCCCAAAGCUCCCAUCCCUGAUAGAGGAGGACCAGUCUUCCAUCAAGUGUAUACGAGUAGCUGCGCUUCCCUGCCAGAACCUCCAGACAAGCUCUAAAGAAUUUAAUUCAGAGACAAGAAUCAUCAUAAGUUCAAAAAGAGAUUUAUCAUAGAGAGAUGACACAUUAUAUUCUUUUUU
ensembl:misc_RNA 7SK 7SK RNA